CUCAGCUGAGGAAUUCCAAAUGCAAUAUGCCACCUCUUUUACAACAUGUGUUUUGUGUUGGAACACUUUGGAGUUGUGCAUUAAACUCAAGUGAAAGACUAAAACUCAGAAACUGGAAAAUUAGCACUGAAAUGUCUUCAUAAGUUAAGAAGAUUGUUCCUUGUUUUCUGUGGCCUAAUACAAUUUUCUGAGUCUUCGGAGGAAGAUUGUAUUUCAGAUACAUGGAAACUUUCUUGUCACCCUCUCACAGCCUGCCAGAUAGCUAUUUUUGUACUCAUUUAUUCAAAAUCUACUAUUGCACCCAUUCUGUGUACUAGUUGUACUAGGAAGUGCGGCAUUAAGGUAAAAUAGAAGAGGAGUUAUAAGGAAUAAUCAAAAUAUAUGAUGAAUAUUUAAAUUAAAAAGUUAUUACAGUAAAAGACUCAUGAUCAUUGAUCCCCAUAGAAUACUCCUCUUGUUUUAAACACAUUUAACCCGUCCUUCUCGCCACUUUCUGGAAGUCCUCUUUUCUGAGUGUGAUAAAGAAUAGAGUUGGCUGCUGCUACCCAGUGCCAUCUGACAGGAAGGCCGGCUUGUGAAAACAGUGCCAGGUGUCCCAGUCACUCACGUUCUUCACUGGGCCUCAC
rnacentral:lncRNA from 1 species